GAUAGAGUGGGGGGUUUUACUGAGGUAUCACAGUGUGCAGGCCAGAGGAUGCACCCAAAGCAUGUAGAACGGGCACCAUUCAUGUGCCUUCCAGAAAAGCAAGAAAGAGCCAUCUGACUUGGAGGCUACCAACAUGAACCCAGAAAUGCGGACAGGACACCAUGGAGGUCACAGAUCCUCUGGCAAAUGGAGGCUGACGGCUAGCAAGUCCCUGUGAUGCCCCCCCCCCAUCUCUGCACCCCAAUGCUUAGGUUACAGGAAGAUACAGGAGCACUGGACAAGGAACUGACCUCCUUAAACUCCGCCUUCAACACAGCAUGUCCCAGUGUUGUCUGCCACUGGAGCUUCCGGCCACUGUGCUUGCCCAGGUAGAAAGUC